UUGAAAACAGAAUGUACAUAAAGGUGAUAAAAGUUAAUCAUUAUUAUUAUUGUAUAUUGGGUAACAUAGUUCAUAAAUAUAAGCAGUGAAAAUAGUGAAAAGUACGGAAAUUCAAAAAUUUCAAAAAAUAUUGCCAUGGAAAAAGGAGAGUUGUUGUGUAACCAUGGGAGAAUCAAUAAAAAGAAAAAAAAAGUGUGUUUGGGAAGGAGCUACACGAAAAUUUUUUGAAGAGCCCAAUAAAUUGAAAUACCACUCCUAUUUUGCAACCAAUCAACAUAAAUCCUUGAUAAAAAAAAAGGAAAAAAAACGUACCUACAUUAAAAAAAGAAAGGAUACUUACUGGAAUUUCUGAAUUUUUGGAAAAAUUCCAUUUCCACUUCAAAAGGAGCCAUUCCUGAAAGCUGAGCUUGUAUAAGGAUAAGCUAUCUGGCGCAGUUUAGGGUACGUAAGUAAGACACAAAAUUCUUGAAAAACCCUUUCCAAGAAUUCUACCUUGAGAGAGAGAGCUGCAUGAGCUACCAAACUGAGCUGAGCAAACUUCGAGGAUAGAGGUCGUGGAAGGUUAUACAUCCAGAGAACAGUAAAAAACACUGAGUCCUCCACAAAAAAUGGAUUUCAAAUAAUAUUAUCAACACUGCUUUUCAACUUUUUCAAAUAAUAUUAAACUU